rnacentral:SRP_RNA from 1 species
UCGUGCUAGACGGGGAGCUAGCGGUGCCCUGUAACCCGAGAUCCGCUUAUGCGGGGUCGAAUGUCCUUGAUGAGAGUCUUUAUUCAGGGUUGUUGUCUAUCGUUCUUGGCAACGGAGUGGACCUUGCGUGACAGACGCUUGCCAACCCCGUCAGGUCCGGAAGGAAGCAGCGGUACGCAAGAGAGCCUGUGUCGCAGUGAUCUCUACUCCUUUCACCGGGACGAUGACAUCAUCCUGGAGAGGACGCGAGCAAGGAUGCACGA